GAUGAACGCUGGCGGCGUGCCUAAUACAUGCAAGUAGAACGCUGAAGGAGGAGCUUGCUCUUCUGGAUGAGUUGCGAACGGGUGAGUAACGCGUAGGUAACCUGCCUGGUAGCGGGGGAUAACUAUUGGAAACGAUAGCUAAUACCGCAUGACAACAGUUCUUGCAUGAUAACUGUUUAAAAGUGGCACCUGCUCCACUACCAGAUGGCCCUGCGUUGUAUUAGCUAGUUGGUGAGGUAACGGCUCACCAAGGCGACGAUACAUAGCCGACCUGAGAAGGGUAACGGCCACACUGGGACUGAGACACGGCCCAGACCCCUACGGGAGGCAGCAGUAGGGAAUCAUCGGAAAUGGACGGAAGUCUGACCGAGCAACGCCGCGGGAGUGAAGAAGGGUUUCGGAUCGUAAAGCUCUGUUGUUAGAGAAGAAAGAGUGUGAGAGUAGAAAGUUCACACUGUGACGGUAUCUAAACAGAAAGCGACGGCUAACUACGUG
rnacentral:rRNA from 1 species